rnacentral:tRNA from 1 species
GCGGAAUUAGUUUAGUGGUAAAAUGGGUGCUUCCCAAGCAUCAGACGCGAGUCCGAUUCUCGCAUUCCGCA